GCCGCCAGGCGCCGCGCGGCCCCCCCCAGCUGCAGGAGGUUGAGCCCCCCCUUGAGCAGCGCGGGGGGGGCACAGAGCCACAGCAGCACCCGGAACAGCCCCGGGCCGCCCGGCACCACUGCGAACCAGUAAGGACCAGUAAGGACCAGUACAGACCAGUACAGACCAGUACAAACCAUUAUAAACCAGUAUGGACCAGGACGGGGCACCAGAGGGGGCUGGGGGGCGGGGGUGGGCCUCCCAGCACCUCCCGGUGCCCCCCCAGUACCUCCCAGUAUCACCCCAGUGCCUCCCAGUUUAUCCCAGUAUUUCCCAGUGCCCCCCAGGGCCUCCCAGUAUCUCCCAGUGCCUCCCAGUUCAUCCCAGUAGCUCCCAAUGCCUCCCCAGUAACUCCCAGUAUCACCCCAGUGCCUUCCAGUUCAUCCCAGUAGCUCCCAGUGACUCUCCCACUUCAUCCCAGUCCCUCCCAGUCCCCUCCCAGUCCCCUCCCAGUGCUCCCAGUCUGACCGGCAGGCCCCUCCCAGAAGUAGACGAGGUAGAGGCUGCAGUAGAAGCCCUCAUUGGCCGCACACAGCAGGAACAGCACGGCCUGGGGGCGGUUCCCGUAGUAGAGCUGCAGGAGGCGGCUCCCGCCCGGCCCCGCCCCCUUGUGGCUGUCGGCGCCCUCCAGGGUGGAGCUGCGGGAGGGGGCGGGGCUCGUGGGGGACACGCCCACCGCCCCGAGCCACGCCCCUUUGUUAUAAGCCACGCCCCCUUUUCCUUAAACCACGCCCAAAUGGCAAAGAGGCCCCGCCCCCCAGAGGCAGGCCCCGCCCACACCUGGGCCUGGCUUAUAGCCCGAGGCCACGCCCACCUACAGGCCACGCCCACCCCGCAGGCCACACCCAAUCAUAACGCCCCGCCCA
rnacentral:lncRNA from 1 species